rnacentral:rRNA from 1 species
ACGCACGCUGGCGGCGUGCUUAACACAUGCCAGUCGCACGGAAAGGCCCUGCUUUUGUGGGGUGCUCGAGUGGCGAACGGGUGAGUAACACGUGAGUCACCUGCCCUUGACUUUGGGAUAACUUCAGGAAACUGGGGCUAAUACCGGAUAGGAGCUCCUGCUGCAUGGUGGGGGUUGGAAAGUUUCGGCGGUUGGGGAUGGACUCGCGGCUUAUCAGCUUGUUGGUGGGGUAGUGGCUUACCAAGGCUUUGACGGGUAGCCGGCCUGAGAGGGUGACCGGCCACAUUGGGACUGAGAUACGGCCCAGACUCCUACGGGAGGCAGCAGUGGGGAAUAUUGCACAAUGGGCGGAAGCCUGAUGCAGCAACGCCGCGUGCGGGAUGACGGCCUUCGGGUUGUAAACCGCUUUCGCCUGUGACGAAGCGUGAGUGACGGUAAUGGGUAAAGAAGCACCGGCUAACUACGUG